rnacentral:other from 1 species
GUAACCCUGCCGUGUACGUGAUUGCUGCACAGGUUUUGAGCCAACACCUGUCAAAGAGGGUGCCUGUCUUCGGCGGGCAAUGCGGUAGCCUUCGGGCAAGGCAGAGCCGGCUGGGAGGGUGCCCACCUGCGAAAGCAGGUUCAAAACAUGCCAGCACGCGGCACGGCGGGGUUUUC